rnacentral:rRNA from 1 species
GACGAACGCUGGCGGCGUGCUUAACACAUGCAAGUCGAACGGAAAGGCCCUGCUUUUGUGGGGUGCUCGAGUGGCGAACGGGUGAGUAACACGUGAGUAACCUGCCCUUGACUUUGGGAUAACUUCAGGAAACUGGGGCUAAUACCGGAUAGGAGCUCCUGCUGCAUGGUGGGGGUGGGAGAGUUUCGGCGGUUGGGGAUGGACUCGCGGCUUAUCAGCUUGUUGGUGGGGUAGUGGCUUACCAAGGCUUUGACGGGUAGCCGGCCUGAGAGGGUGACCGGCAACAUUGGGACUGAGAUAGGGCCAAGACCCCUACGGGAGGCAGCAGGGGGGAAUAUUGCACAAUGGGCGGAAGCCUGAUGCAGCAACGCCGCGUGCGGGAUGACGGCCUUCGGGUUGUAAACCGCUUUCGCCUGUGACGAAGCGUGAGUGACGGUAAUGGGUAAAGAAGCACCGGCUAACUACGUG